UGCAGUCGAGCGCACCUUCGGGUGAGCGGCGGACGGGUUAGUAACGCGUGGGAACAUACCCUUUGGUACGGAAUAGCCUCUGGAAACGGAGAGUAAUACCGUAUGAGCCCUUCGGGGGAAAGAUUUAUCGCCAAAGGAUUGGCCCGCGUUAGAUUAGGUAGUUGGUGGGGUAAUGGCCUACCAAGCCUACGAUCUAUAGCUGGUUUUAGAGGAUGAUCAGCAACACUGGGACUGAGACACGGCCCAGACUCCUACGGGAGGCAGCAGUGGGGAAUCUUGGACAAUGGGGGCAACCCUGAUCCAGCCAUGCCGCGUGAGUGAUGAAGGCCUUAGGGUCGUAAAGCUCUUUCGCCUGUGAAGAUAAUGACGGUAGCAGGUAAAGAAACCCCGGCUAACUCCGUGCCAGCAGCCGCGGUAAUACGGAGGGGGUUAGCGUUGUUCGGAAUUACUGGGCGUAAAGCGCACGUAGGCGGACUGGAAAGUUGGGGGUGAAAUCCCAGGGCUCAACCCUGGAACUGCCUCCAAAACUAUCAGUCUAGAGUUCGAGAGAGGUGAGUGGAAUUCCGAGUGUAGAGGUGAAAUUCGUAGAUAUUCGGAGGAACACCAGUGGCGAAGGCGGCUCACUGGCUCGAUACUGACGCUGAGGUGCGAAAGUGUGGGGAGCAAACAGGAUUAGAUACCCUGGUAGUCCACACCGUAAACGAUGAAUGCCAGUCGUCGGGUAGCAUGCUAUUCGGUGACACACCUAACGGAUUAAGCAUUCCGCCUGGGGAGUACGGUCGCAAGAUUAAAACUC
rnacentral:rRNA from 1 species